GCUUUUUGGAGAAAUAAAACCUAUCCCGCUUGAAGUUGAGCAAUACUUCUCAAAGGUAGGUUCUUCCAGAAUCAAAGGUUGAAGCUGUUUCUUAUGUACUCGAGUGUCCAGUGAUAGUGUUCAUCAACUCCAAAAGCAGAGGAUCCAACUAGCGAGGGCAAUAUAUAAUGAUUCAGAUGUGUAUUUUCUAGAUGAUCCCUUUAGUGCAGUAGAUGCACAUACAACUGCAAUUCUUUUCUAUGAAUGCGUCAUGGCUGCCCUUGCUCAUAAAAUCGUCAUUCUAAUGACUCAUCAAGUGGAAUUUCUCUCUGAAGUCAAUAAAAUUCUGGUUGUGGAAGCUAGACAGAUAACUCAAUCAGGAAGCUAUGAGGAGCUUUUGACAUCCGAGACAACAUUUGAGCAGCUUGUAAAUGCAUAUAAGAAUGCAGUAACAGUACUGGAAUUUCCAAAUGAUGUACAAGUAGAACCUCAAAAAUUGAAUCGGAAUCUACUAAAGAAGUCUCAUGGAUUUCUCUCCACCAAAGAAAACAGCGAAUGAGAGAUUUCUAUGAAGGGAUUGCCUGGGGUUCAGCUAACCAAAGAACAAGAAACAGAGAUUGGUGAUGUUGGGUAGAAGCCACAAUCUUGAAUCAUUAUUGUAUAGGGAAUAGAAUCUUGUUGCUGAUACAUUUUCAAUUUUAACUGUUACAACAGCAUCUGAAACUAUUAUAUCUUGUGUUCUUAAGUUUA